CUGUAAGGGGCAUGAUGUAUUACUACAAAGCUCUUAAGAUGCUGGCAUACCUUGAUUCUGCAUCAGAGAUGGACAUCAGGG